rnacentral:rRNA from 1 species
UAAGGAAUAUUGGUCAAUGGACGAAAGUCUGAACCAGCCAUGCCGCGUGGAGGAUGAAGGUCCUCUGGAUUGUAAACUUCUUUUAUAUGGGACGAAAAAAGGGUUUUCUAACUCGUCUGACGGUACCAUAUGAAUAAGCACCGGCUAACUCCGUGCCAGCAGCCGCGGUAAUACGGAGGGUGCAAGCGUUAUCCGGAUUCACUGGGUUUAAAGGGUGCGUAGGUGGGUUGGAAAGUCAGUGGUGAAAUCCCGAAGCUUAACUUCGGAACUGCCGUUGAUACUACAGGUCUUGAAUACUCGGGAGGUGAGCGGAAUAUGUCAUGUAGCGGUGAAAUGCUUAGAUAUGACAUAGAACACCGAUUGCGAAGGCAGCUCACUACAGAGUCAUUGACGCUGAGGCACGAAAGCGUGGGGAUCAAA